rnacentral:rRNA from 1 species
GAUGAACGCUGGCGGCGUGCUUAACACAUGCAAGUCGAACGGAAAGGCCCAAGCUUGCUUGGGUACUCGAGUGGCGAACGGGGGAGUAACACGUGGGUGAUCUGCCCUGCACUUCGGGAUAAGCCUGGGAAACUGGGUCUAAUACCGGAUAGGACCACAUUUUGGAUGGUGUGGUGGAAAGUUUUUCGGUGUGGGAUGAGCUCGCGGCCUAUCAGCUUGUUGGUGGGGUAAUGGCCUACCAAGGCGUUGGCGGGUAGCCGGCCUGAGAGGGUGUACGGCCGCAUUGGCACUGAGGUGCGGCCCCGGUGCCGACUGUACGCAGCAGUGGGGAAUCCUGACCAAGGGGCGCCAGCCUGAUGCAGCGACGCCGCGGAUGGGAUGACGGUCUUCGGGUUGUAAACUCCUUUCGCUAGGGACGAAGCGUUAUGUGACGGUACCUGGAGAAGAAGCACCGGCUAACUACGUG